rnacentral:lncRNA from 1 species
AUACUAGCAUCGUACAUAUGGGGGAGCACACACGCGCAUACGUGACACGUGGCUCAGAUCCAGCAGAUACGUGUUCGUUGAUGGAGCUCGCGUGAAGCCGGUUAGUCGUCGGCCCUGACGGCGAAGUUCUCCUUGCGCUCGUGGAACUCGCCGGUGCGGGUGUUGAUGUCCUCCUCGAACUUGCUCUCGCGCGCCUCGAAGUGGCCGUGGUGGCGGCCGGUGCGCGAGACCUUGUCGACCUCCUCGAACUUCUCCUUGACGACGUGCUGCUGGACGCCGCCGUGGCGGCCGAAGCCGGCCGGGCUCGCCACCGACCUCACCUCCUCCGAGCUGUAGUCCACCUCCUGGUAGUGAGCCAUUGGCGAUGCUUGGGGUUUGGGUGUUGGGUGUAGUGCCUGUGACUUGAAAGUGCUUGUGAAUUGUAUGGGAUGACUUGUGUGCUGGAUGCUAGGGUUGGGGCCGGGGUGCGCUUUUAUAACGCCUGGAAUGAAGCGCAUGAGUGGAGGGAGGAAUAAUCGGUGCGAAAGAAACCUGUGUGCAGCUGCUUUAUUGAUUAUUGUGUGUUUUUUCUUCGCUUUUUACCGUUCAUCUAGAGGAAGUGUUUGGACUGUACUGGCCAAGUUGAUGUUAGGAUGUCUAGGGCAUUUUUAAGUGCAAUUUACAUGUUCAUAUAAAGUUCAAUUGUAUUCUAAUUAACAUCAUAUAUGCAGUUCCAUUGUGUUGGGAUAUUUGUGUGUACUGUGUUUUCAAAAAAGAACAAAUAUUUGUAAGGAGUCAUCGAAGAGCUAUAGUCACCCUGCGGGCUGGGGCUAGUGUGCAAAAGGAAAAACAAGACAUGUAUUAUGAAAAAUAAGAAGAAGAAAAGACAGACAUAGGUACGCAGUGCAUAUAAUCAUUAAAAUCAGCUGCUUGUUAUAAAACGUGAGUUCAAUUCCAUUAAAAAGGGAAAAACGGAUAUGCAAUUAGCAAGCAAAAAAGUUCGGCUCAUCUCAAAUCCUCUUCUUCUUAUUAAGUCACCUUGGACAGAAGAAGUCACCGGCCGCGUUAGGUAAGAAUAUACUUAUCAGUUGUCAAGUCGGAAUAUAUACUUGCGUCUCGGCCUGCACCUCGUUUCACUUCACCAUGGAUGGAGACCGCAAGACGCCAUAGCCGCACCGGACAGCGCGUUGCUUGUAUGUGAAAAAGAAUCACAAUUCCUUCAUCCAUGUCCAUAACAAGGAGGGAAAGGGGAGGUGCGUAUAAGGUGUAUGGAUAUGUUUACUACAGUUUGUAAAAUGUGUUUGGAAAACUAAGUGAUUAUAUUGUUUACACUUGUUACUCUAUCAAAAUUCCUUGGUUUAUAUAAGCGGUAAUAUUCACCAGAAACGUUAAACUAAAAUUUUUCAAUCUUACUAUUGCUAAUUGAAGAUUCCUUUUUGAAAACUUCACGUUAAUCCUCACGUGAAGCGUUAGAAAAAAAAUAAAUUUUAGAAAUUUUUAUAAAAUUCAGAAAUAUCGGACCAUCAAUUAGGUAGACCCUAAUCAUCUUAGCCAUUAGAUCUAUUAUGCUUUCUAAGAAAUUACCCACCUCUACCAUUAUAAAAUAGUCUAAGGUAUAUAUGUAUUGUGAGCAACUCCAACAAUAGCUCUCAAAUCAAAACUCCCAAAGGUGAAAUGGGGUUCUCUCUAUUUUUUUACAGACCCAGCAAUAGCCCCGUGAAUAGAGAGCUCCCUAGAGGCACCCUAGGAAUGGAAGGUGGAGGGGAGAAUUUGGAGACCUCAUCAAAAUAGAAAGCUUACUAGAGGGUUCUGCUGAAGUGCAAUUUUUUUACUUGACCCUCUAAACUUGGGUUAGGGGGUAUUUAGAGCUACGUGGAGUUGCUCUUAGAAUAUUUACGAAUGAGGGACAACGCAAAGUUAUUAGCUACAGAUCCUAAUGUUUUUUUUAAAAAAACUAAUACUUAAGUCUUUCAAACUAUUAGCACCAGCGGGAGUACAAGUUGAUGUUUCAUAUAAUUUUAAUAAAAAUUGUAUGGCGGACCAAGCGUGUACUAGACUACUAGUAAAUGUGUGUUGACAUGAAAGCACAAGCAAAGAUCAAUCAACUGGCCAACGGCAAGAUCAGACUGUAAUCACCUGCUACUAGCAUGGGCGGAGGCCAGUGCGCAUGCACAUCUCAUCGAUAGGCCUGGAUAAUUAAGGUGGUGUUUGGUUGAGCGGUGGUUUUUGAAAAAUCUGCUGUGAGUUGUGGGUUGUAAAAAAGCAGCUGUGCGAAAGUAGCUGUGGAAAAAAUAGAAGGCCGUUUGGUUAGAGCAACUGUGAAACUGUAGGUCGUGAGGGUUUGCUUAUAUACAAAUUACUCAUAAUAAAAUAAUGUGUUCACUAAUUCGCAUGUAAAUGACUAUUUUAGAAAUGAAAAAAUAAAUUUUCUAUGUUUUCCUCAAUCAAAGUGCAGAACAAUAUCCAUCAAAAAUCUUAUACAACAAUUAUCCAGGUAUUGAUUGGGCUAUCGGCCAAUUCAACAAAGCAAUUGGUCCACAAUAGCUACUACUUGUACUCUCUCCUAGCAGCUAAAACAUCAGCAUCCUUCGGAACAAAUUCUGUUGCCACGUCGAUCCAAAUUCCCCAUCCUUUUCAGGGGUUCACUUCUUGACAAGAUCAGAUGCUUGAGUCGGUUGAAAUGUACCUAGUUAAUCCAAUACGACGCAUCAUAUUUCACUCAUGCGCCAUGCUCUUGCCGACGAUGCCUUUACCCUGCAAAUGCUCCAUCUUCAUCAUUUCCCCGGUGGACACCACUGUGGGCAAUGCAUCGCAGGAGGAUCCUUUAUGCCUCUCCCCGUAUCGGCACUAGUGUCAACCCCGAACCACCUCGCCACCCCGAGCAACACCAGGGCCGCAACGGCAUCCACGAUGUGCACAGACAGGGAUAGGUCCAUGACGGAGACGGCCCUUAGCCUUGCCUCCUCCACCUUGCAUCGCGUGGCGGGUGUCGUGGUGCCACCGGUGUCCAGGAGGCGGUGGCACCCCGCGGGCACGCAUGCGUCGACGUAGAGGCUGAGCCCAGUCUGCGCCGCCUAGAGCCCACCCACGGCGCCCACGCAAGCGAGCCCCGCCUCGACGACGAAGUGGGCUGCCGCCGCCACCGUGCCCCUCGACGCGGAAGCGGAGAGUGAUGAGGUGAGGGAUGUCGCGGCGGCGACGAGGAGGAGGAGGUGCGUGACGGGGUGCGGGGGGCGGCAGGCAGCGACCGGCGGUUGGGUGGGGGCGCCUAGUGUGGGAGUUGGACGGGUGCGCCUAGUGCAAAGUCUGACAGAAAUAGAACGGUGAAAACAAACCGAUAUCUCAUAAUCAGUGGUAGGUGGGUAAUUUUUUACCCCAAAAGCAGCUGAAAGUAGGGGGUAUGGUGCUUUUGGUUUUGCAUCUUUUGGCCUAAAGCAUUUGUAGCUUUUAGGCUCUUUGGUUAGUUUUUAGCUUUUGCAAAAGUAAAAACCUGUUGGAAAGCUUAACCAAAGACACCUCGAAGACGGCCACACACGAGCCAUGGAAAAACUGAAUGCGGCAGGAACGAAGCUGAGCCGGCGUCCGUCCGCGGGCAGGAUGCCGAUGAUGUCGAGCUCACGGCCGUACGGCCUGUGCAGCAGAGGAGCUCGGUCGGCGUUGCUGUGGGAGCCCAGUAGCUCACAGUGGAGGUCGUCAUCGACGGCGCCGGCGAGCCACGCCGGCCUGUGCAGCAGCACGGUUUACGGGUCCUAGAACGCGCGAUUAGCUGGUUUGAGCUCGCCGUCGAGUCAAUGGCGGCGUGGUUAUGGUCCACGAUCCAGGCCGGGUGGCCAGCGGCGAGAGGCGCCUGACCCCGGAAGAUGUGACGAACCCUUACCGGCGCCUUGAUUGCCUAAUCCGCAAUGUUAGGAGUUGCAAAGUUGGUCAGCUAAGAAGAUUGGCUCCAUUCGGCUGCACUUCUCGUCGCCAAGGAGGUUAUCCUGCAGCUGGACCGGGCACAAGAGCUGUGUUUGCUAUCAGAAGAGGAACGCGAGCUGCGGAGACAGCUAAAGGUACAACUCUGGGCCUCGCUUCACUGGAACGAACAAUCGCCAGAUAGCGGUCGCGCGUCCUCUACCUGAGCGAAGGGGACGCGAACACGAAGUUCUUCCACCUGCAUGCAAAUGGUCGGCGACGAAAGAACCACAUCACUAAACUACAGACAGGGAAUGGCAUGGUGUACACAGCAGAGGAGAUGGCUGACAAGCUCCACACCUACUUCGAUGGAGUUCUUGGACAGGAUCACAGGAGAGGGAUAGGCAGACCACGCUGAACCUGGAGGCAUUGGGGAUCUUCCCGAGAGAACUCCCUGGCCUGGAGGAGCCAUUUACUGAGGAUGAAGUGUGGCAAACAAUCCGGGCCAUGCCGCCGGACAAGUCGCCGGGGCCAGACGGUAUGACGGCGGCGUUCUAUCAAUCAACCUUGUCUAUUAUCAAAGAUGAUUGUGCUGAGAGCGGUGAAUGCUUUCUUUGUGGUGGAUCGACGAGGUUUCCGGUGCAUCAACGGGGCGCUCCUCACGCUGAUUCCUAAAAAAUCAGAUGCUCAAGCACCGAAGGACUAUCGCCCUGUAAGCCUAAUUUACAGUUUCCCAAAACUGCUCGCCAAGCUGCUUGCUAAUCGCCUCAGCCCUACAUGAACGAGCUUGUUCUCUGCAAUCAGAGCGCCUUCAUCAAGGGGCGGUCCAUUCUGGACAACUACAAGUAUGUUCAGAGAUCAGCGGCCAUCCUCCGGAAGCGGAAAGUGCCCAAGUUGUUGCUAAAACUUGAUAUUUCGAAGGCCUCUGACACGGUGGCGUGGCAGUUCGAGCUGGAGGUCCUGCAGGCAUGGGGUUUUGGAUCGAGAUGGCGCGAUUGGAUUUCUCUAUUGCUGUCCACGGGCCACGGCAACUACACGUGUGCUGCUCAACGGCCAGGCAGGGCUGCCGAUUGAGCACCGUCGCGGUCUCAGGAAGGAGAUCCACUCUCCCCAAUGUUGUUUGUGCUGGCAAUGGAUGCUCUCAACCGGCUCUUUAACAAGGCGGAUACUGAUGGAGUGCUACAGCCGCUUGGGGUGCCAUGCAUCAAGCACCGCUGCAGCAUGUACGCGGACGAUGUGAUCCUAUUGGCAGCACCAACUGCGGGGGAAGCAAGGGCUAUAACUUCUCAAUCUCUUUGGAGAUGCAUCAGGAUUGCAAACGAACUUAGAAAAGUGUUCAAUCACACCAAUCUACGGCUGUGAAGAAGUGCUGGAGAGCUUACAGCCAGUGAUGCCAUGUGCAAUCAAGGAGUUCCCCAUCACGUACUUGGGAGCGCCACUGUCUGUCAGAGCAUUGCCAAAAUCUCAGUUUAUGCCGAUUGUUGAGGAGGUUGCAGCAAAAUUACCAGCUUGGCAGGGACCCUUAAUGAAUAAGAGUGGACGCCUCACCCUUGUGAAGUCCACCCUCUCUACAAUGCCCAUUUACUUGAGCAUGUCUGACAAGAUGCCAAGAUGGGCUCUCAAGGAGUUGGACAGUAUCAGGCGAAACUUUCUGUGGAAUGGCACUGACAGGGCAGUAAGAGGGAAGAACGCAGUGGCCUGGCCAACUGUCUGCCGGCCUACAUGCUACGGAGGGCUCGGGGUGAUCGACUUCAAGCUAGCUGGCUUUGCCCUACGGACGCGUUGGCUCUGGCUACAGAAAACGGACGACGAGCGUUCGUGGGCUGCAGUACAAAUCAAGGUGCAGCCGGAGGUUCGCGCAUUCUUCAGCGCCUCUGUAACGGUGACUGUACGCAAUGGAGAGAGAAUUAUUCUGGUUAGACAACUGGAUUGAUGGGCAACCCGUCUCCCACCUGGCGCCUAACCUCCUUCAGACGGUGCCUGCACGAGUGAGGAACGGCAGAACGGUGGCGCGAUCGUUGCCGGAGCGGAGAUGGACGCAAGACAUUCGAGGACGUCUGUCAGUACAGGUACUGGUGGAAUACAUAAACCUUUGGGAGCGCAUCUCCGACUGACAGCUCAUGGAAGGUGCGGGACGUUUGCCGCUGGCGAUGGACCGUCGAUGGCAGCUACACGGCAGCUUCUGCAUAUCUCAAAAUGCACGAGGGAAGCAUCAAACUACGAGGUGCGUCGAGAAUUUGGAAGAAUUGGGCGCCGCCGAGGGUCAAGUUCUUUUCCUGGCUAGCAACGAAGAAGCGCAUAUGGACAGCUGACCGCCGCCGCCGGCAUGGGCUGGAUGCUCAUGACAAAUGUUGGCUCUGCGAUCAGGAACUGCAGACCACAUCUUGGUCAGCUGUGCCUACGCCAAGCAAAUUUGGUGGAAAGUCACGACGACGAUGCAUUGCAGCUGCAGUUUUUCCGCAGGGCACAUUCCAUGCAGAGCUGGUGGGCAAAUCUAAGGAAACAGCAGCCGAGAGCGAAGAGGAAGGGCUUUGACACCCUAUUCAUGCUUAUAAUUUGGAGUAUUUGGAAAGAGCGCAAUGCAAGGCUCUUCAACCAAAUAUCAUCCGCUGGCCAUGAGCUCACUGAGCGCAUUCUGCAGGAGGCUGAGAUAUGGAUCCUUGCGGGUGCUUGGCGAUUAGGUAGUAUCCGGCAUGAGUAGUACCAGUUAGAGGAGGCCUCUGGCCAUUAGGUUGUAGUCUGCAUACGGCGUAUGCAAGGUUUUGGCGUGUGCUCCGUCUCCGCCGAUUUCUGUAAAAAGUUUUUAAAUUCUCUUCUUAAUACAAUGAUACAAAUGAUGCGCAGCUCUCCUGCGUAUUGGAGAGAGAAAAGAGCGCCUGACCCGGCCACCCCUGGGUUUCUUGCAACUGUCAGAUCGGACAUGUGCGGCCACGGUCGCCUUGACCUCGCAAAUAUUCAUGUGGUGCCUUCGCUCGACCACCGUUGUCCUCGACGACGGGCUGCAUGCGCUCCGAGCCUCUGAUGAACCGCGCGCUGCCUGACGAGCCAGAGUCCAGUGGCCGCGAGAAUCACUUCUGAUGGUUGCGAGAGCAUCGUAGGCAGGUGUGGUGCUUAUCUCGCGAGAUAACAGAAGCGGCACGGUGCGGCGGUGCCAUUGCCGGCCGGCGCGGUCCUAGGCGUUCUGACUUCUGCGGCGUGUCUGCCUGCGGCGAAGGCGAGGGCCAUCGCGAUUACGAGUAGGAUGCUGCUACUGCUAGAGAGUGUUGGGCGCGCGGCACCGUGGCUGACUUCGGCCGCAACGUUGGCUCGGACGCCACGGCUGCUGUGCUGCCUCAGCUAGCCAGCGUGCGCUCGCCGUCGCCGGCGCCAUCGACGGCACCAAAGGCAAUCGAUGCUGACGCCCGCCAGCAGCACACCGGCAAUUGCAAGUCUGUCAACCGUCGCAGGGGAAUAUUUGCGCCGCCGGCCGCUGCCUCCUUGGGCGCUGCGCCGCGCAUCGGAGCGGCGGAGCCCAGCGCGUCGUCGAGGACUGCAGUCAAGCGAGGAAGGCGGAAAAGUCUAGCUCCAUUGACUUGAUCGCUGCCGCCCACGUGAGAUCCAACGGUCUAAAUAGGCCCAGAGUGGACGGUAAAUGAAAUACCGUCCACCCCCGUGUCUCUCUUCCACCGCGCGUCGAGCUCCGAUGACGAUCCGCGCGCCGCCCAACUUGGCAGAGUCCGGUAGCCGCAAGAAUCUUCGCCGACGAUGGUUGUGAGGACACGAGGGAGAUGCUUAUCUCACCGUACCAGAGAAGUGGAACGAUACGGUGGUGCCGUGGCUGGCGCAGCCCAGGCGUUGUGACUUCUGCGGCGUGGCUGGCUUCGACCGCCCGCGAUCAGGGAGAGACUCAAUGACGCGGUGGCAUCCAUGGGUAGAGCACCGCCGACGAGCGCUCGCGAGAACCCCGUGGACGGCGCCAAUGUCGAUUCGGAUGCCUCGGCAAGGUCACUGGCGCCGAUGCAUGGACGGCUACAGCCUACAGCCAUCAUCACAAUGCAAGGACGGCAAGGAGGCUGCCAGUUCUGGGGUUUGGGGGCAAACGUUUUUUGCCCCCAAACGAAUCGAAUGUUCACUUUGGAGUUGGGUCGGCGCAGCAAUAUACAUGCACGUAGUACACGGAGAAGCUUUAUUCAGGUCACGAGCUUAUUUUCGUAGUACGUACAGAGGCUGCGUGCAAGCACGCCAGCAAAGUACGUGGAUAAGGUAGACCUCGCACACACAAACUUACAAUUUCAUACAUACGGAGGACAUGCACAUACACGUACGCGAUACCUGCCUCCGGCCCAAUCCAGAUACGUGCGUCGUCGUCGAUCGAGCCCGCGUGAAGCCGAUCUCAGUCGGACCUGACGACGUAGCUCUCCUUGCGCUCGUGGAACUCGCCGGUGCAGGUGUUGAAGUCCUCCUCCACCGUGGUCUCGCGCAUCACGAAGUUGCCGGAGCCGUGGCCGUGGCCGUGGUGGCCGUGGUGGCCGUGGUGGCCGUGGUGGCGGCCGUGGCUGCCGGUGCGGGAGACCCUGUCGACCUCCUCGAACUUCUCCCUGACGACGUGCUGCUGGACGCCGCCGUGGCGGCCGAAGCCGGCCGGGCUCGCCACCGACCUCACCUCCUCCGAGCAGUAGUCAACCUCCUGGUAGUGAGCCAUUGGUGAUGAUGCUUGGGUUACUUGUUCAGUGCCUGUAUGCCUUGAAGUGCUUGUGAAUUGUGUGA